rnacentral:rRNA from 1 species
GACGAACGCUGGCGGCGUGCCUAAUACAUGCAAGUAGAACGCUGAAGGAGGAGCUUGCUUCUCUGGAUGAGUUGCGAACGGGUGAGUAACGCGUAGGUAACCUGCCUGGUAGCGGGGGAUAACUAUUGGAAACGAUAGCUAAUACCGCAUAAUAGUAGAUGUUGCAUGACAUUUGCUUAAAAGGUGCAAUUGCAUCACUACCAGGUGGACCUGCGUUGUAUUAGCUAGUUGGUGAGGUAACGGCUCACCAAGGCAACGAUACAUAGCCGACCUGAGAGGGUGAUCGGCCACACUGGGACUGAGACACGGCCCAGACUCCUACGGGAGGCAGCAGUAGGGAAUCUUCGGCAAUGGACGGAAGUCUGACCGAGCAACGCCGCGUGAGUGAAGAAGGUUUUCGGAUCGUAAAGCUCUGUUGUAAGAGAAGAACGAGUGUGAGAGUGGAAAGUUCACACUGUGACGGUAUCUUACCAGAAAGAGACGGCUAACUACGUG